rnacentral:misc_RNA from 1 species
CCGAGUGUGGACCCCCCAUAAAAAAGGGGGGUUACCUCCCGUCCUUUGCUGGGCACCCCUUUCCAGUUGGAUGUGGGUUGUUUUCAGACCCUUCUGCUUCGGCGGGGUAACCCGCCGGAACAACCUCAAAAUAUUCUCAAUUUAAAACUGUUCAGUCCGAGAACUUUUUUUGAAAAGCGAAA